rnacentral:rRNA from 1 species
GAUGAACGCUGGCGGCGUGCCUAAUACAUGCAAGUCGAGCGAACAGACGAGGUGCUUGCUCCUCUGACGUUAGCGGCGGACGGGUGAGUAACACGUGGAUAACCUACCUAUAAGACUGGGAUAACUUCGGGAAACCGGAGCUAAUACCGGAUAAUAUAUUUAACCGCAUGGUUCAAUAGUGAAAGACGGUUUUGCUGCCACUUAUAGAUGGAUCCGCGCCGCAUUACCUGGUGGGUAAGGUAACGGCUUACCAAGGGAACGAUCCUUAGCCGACCUGGGGGGGGGUUCGGCAACACUGGACCUGAGCCACGGUCCAGACUCCUACGGGAGGCAGCAGAAGGGAAUCUUCCGCAAUGGGCGAAAGCCUGACGGAGCAACGCGGCGUGAGUGAUGAAGGUCUUCGGAUCGUAAAACUCUGUUAUUAGGGAAGAACAAAUGUGUAAGUAACUAUGCACGUCUUGACGGUACCUAAUCAGAAAGCCACGGCUAACUACGUG